rnacentral:rRNA from 1 species
UGGCGCACGGCUCAGUGACACGUAGUCAACCUACCCUAGGGACGGGGAUAACCUCGGGAAACUGAGGCUAAACCCCGAUAGGCUAUAGCCUCUGGGAUGAGCUAUAGCUGAAAUCUAUAUGGCCCUAGGAUGGGACUGCGGCCGAUCAGGUAGUUGGUGGGGUAAUGGCCCACCAAGCCUAUAACCGGUGCGGGCUCUGAGAGGAGGAGCCCGGAGAUGGGCACUGAGACAAGGGCCCAGGUCCUAUGGGGCGCAGCAGGCGCGAAACCUCCGCAAUGGGCGAAAGCCCGACGGGGUUAGUCCGAGUGGUCCCUGCUGAAGGGGCCUUUUGCCAGCUGUAAAAAGGCUGGCGAAUAAGGGGUGGGCAAGUUUGGUGUCAGCCGCCGCGGUAAUACCAGCACCCCGAGUGGUCGGGACGAUUAUUGGGCCUAAAGCAUCCGUAGCCGGCUUAGCAAGUCCUCCGUUAAAUCCAACGGCUUAACCGUUGGGCUGCGGAGGAUACUGCUAAGCUAGGGGGCGGGAGAGGCGAGGGGUAUUCCCAGGGUAGGGGUAAAAUCCGUUGAUCCUGGGA